rnacentral:rRNA from 1 species
UACGUAGGGUCCGAGCGUUGUCCGGAAUUACUGGGCGUAAAGAGCUCGUAGGUGGUUUGUCACGUUGUUCGUGAAAACUCACAGCUUAACUGUGGGCGUGCGGGCGAUACGGGCAGACUAGAGUACUGCAGGGGAGACUGGAAUUCCUGGUGUAGCGGUGGAAUGCGCAGAUAUCAGGAGGAACACCGGUGGCGAAGGCGGGUCUCUGGGCAGUAACUGACGCUGAGGAGCGAAAGCGUGGGGAGCGAACGGG